GACGAACGCUGGCGGCGUGCUUAACACAUGCAAGUCGAGCGGUAAGGCCCUUUCGGGGGUACACGAGCGGCGAACGGGUGAGUAACACGUGGGUGACCUGCCCUUAGCUCUGGGAUAAGCCUGGGAAACUGGGUCUAAUACCGGAUAUGACUCCAUGACGCAUGUUGUGGGGUGGAAAGCCUUGUGCGGCUAGGGAUGGGCCCGCGGCCUAUCAGCUUGUUGGUGGGGUGAUGGCCACCAAGGCGACGACGGGUAGCCGGCCUGAGAGGGCGACCGGCCACACUGGGACUGAGACACGGCCCAGACUCCUACGGGAGGCAGCAGUGGGGAAUCUUGCGCAAUGGGCGAAAGCCUGACGCAGCGACGCCGCGUGAGGGAUGACGGCCU
rnacentral:rRNA from 1 species